CCUACGGGUGGCUGCAGUGGGGAAUAUUGCACAAUGGGCGCAAGCCUGAUGCAGCCAUGCCGCGUGUGUGAAGAAGGCCUUCGGGUUGUAAAGCACUUUCAGCGGGGAGGAAGGCGUUAAGGUUAAUAACCUUGUCGAUUGACGUUACCCGCAGAAGAAGCACCGGCUAACUCCGUACCAGCAGCCGCGGUAAUACGGAGGGUGCAAGCGUUAAUCGGAAUUACUGGGCGUAAAGCGCACGCAGGCGGUCUGUCAAGUCGGAUGUGAAAUCCCCGGGCUCAACCUGGGAACUGCAUUCGAAACUGGCAGGCUAGAGUCUUGUAGAGGGGGGUAGAAUUCCAGGUGUAGCGGUGAAAUGCGUAGAGAUCUGGAGGAAUACCGGUGGCGAAGGCGGCCCCCUGGACAAAGACUGACGCUCAGGUGCGAAAGCGUGGGGAGCAAACAGGAUUAGAUACCCCAGUAGUC
rnacentral:rRNA from 1 species